rnacentral:lncRNA from 1 species
CACGGAUAUCUCAAGAUUAGUACUGCGAUGGGACAAAUGUCUGAACCGGUGUGGGGACUAUGUAGAAAAAUAGUGUAACGUACGUGAACUUGCAAUGACCUU